rnacentral:rRNA from 1 species
GGCUCAGGAUGAACGCUAGCUACAGGCUUAACACAUGCAAGUCGAGGGGAAACGACAUCGAAAGCUUGCUUUUGAUGGGCGUCGACCGGCGCACGGGUGAGUAACGCGUAUCCAACCUGCCCAUCACUUGGGGAUAACCUUGCGAAAGUAAGACUAAUACCCAAUGAUAUCUCUAGAAGACAUCUGAAGGAGAUUAAAGAUUUAUCGGUGAUGGAUGGGGAUGCGUCUGAUUAGCUUGUUGGCGGGGUAACGGCCCACCAAGGCAACGAUCAGUAGGGGGUUCUGAGAGGAAGGUCCCCCACAUUGGAACUGAGACACGGUCCAAACUCCUACGGGAGGCAGCAGUGAGGAAUAUUGGUCAAUGGACGAGAGUCUGAACCAGCCAAGUAGCGUGCAGGAUGACGGCCCUAUGGGUUGUAAACUGCUUUUAUAAGGGAAUAAAGUGAGCCUCGUGAGGCUUUUUGCAUGUACCUUAUGAAUAAGGACCGGCUAAUUCCGUG